AAAAAAAAAUUACUACUCUUUGUUUUAUGGUUUGCGAACCAACUUUGUAUUUCUAAACCCUAGCUUCUGCAAAACCCUCUCUCCCCACCCGAGCUUACGAUCCCUAUAAGGAUCUUGAUGCUCCAAUUCGAAACCUUUACCACCUCCCAACCUCGCCGGAGUUCCUCUUCGUUGAAGAGGCCCGCCGCAAGCGCCGCUCAUGGGGCGAGAACCUCACCUUCUACACCGGAUGCGGCUACCUGGCCGGAGCCGUUGGCGGUGCGGGCUUAGGACUCGUUGAGGGCGUCAAGGCCUUCGAGUCCGGGGACACAAUGAAGCUUCGAAUCAACCGCGUCCUGAACGCGGCGAGACACUCGGGUCGGGUCUGGGGAAACCGGGUCGGGAUACUAGGGUUACUCUACGCCGAAAUCGAGAGCAGAAUCGAGGCGGCAAGAGACGCGGACGACGUAUGAAAUAGUGUCCCAGCGGGCUCUGCACCAGCGCACUGUACCGGGCGGCGAGAGGGGUGAGAUCAGCGACAGUAGCCGGAGUGGUGGGCAGCGCUGUGGUGGGAGUGGUCGUGGCGGGGAAGCAAGCGUUGAAACAAUAUGUGCCUAUAUAAAAGAAAGAUCAUCACCCGGUUAGAGAACAAUUACAAGUUGUGCAACAACAGAUGGUUUGUCGGUGGGUAUUACACGAAGAUAAUGCUCAUCGCAGUAUAGUAUUGAAGAAAUGUGGGAUGCUUUAGGCAUUGAUUAAUUCAUGAAGUAGGACAACAUGAUCAAGUUGAAUACAUUGAAGUAUGGGAACAGAUAUUGAACAUAAUGUACAUAUUUUAGGUUGUUUAGUUUCUGUAAUGAAGAAUAUGUUGUAAUGUUUAAUGUUUAUGAAUUUUAUGAUUGAUUAUAAAAUGCUUUAUGGAUG
rnacentral:sRNA from 1 species